rnacentral:misc_RNA from 1 species
UUUCCGUAGGUGAACCUGCGGAAGGAUCAUUAUUGGAUUUUGAAACUUCAGGCUGCUGCUGGCUCUCCUCGGAGGGCAUGUGCACGCUUGUUGUCCAUUAUUUCUCCCACUGUGCACAAAUUGUAGACCUUUCAGUAGGCCUAUGUUGUUUUUCACAAUCUCUGAAUGUAAUAGAAUGGUUUUGAAUCUUGGGGAAUACAAUACAACUUUCAGCAACGGAUCUCUUGGCUCUC